rnacentral:misc_RNA from 1 species
AACUUUCGGCAAUGGAUCACUUGGCUCUCGCAUCGAUGAAGAACGCAGCGAAAUGCGAUAAGGAAUGUGAAUUGCAGAAUUCAGUGACUCAUCGAAUCUUUGAACGCACCUUGCGCCCUCUGGCUAUUCCAGAGGGCAUGCCUGUUUGAGUAUCAUGAACACCUCAAUUCUCACGGUCUUGCCGUGUUGAGCUUGGACUUUGGGGGUCUUGCUGGCCUGUGGUCAGCUCCUCUCAAAUAAAUCAGCUCGCCAGUGUUUGGUGGCAUCACGGGUGUGAUAACUAUCUACGCUUGUGGCUUCCACCAGGUAACCUUCAGUGAUGGGGGUUCGCUGGAGCUCAUAAACGUCUCUCCUCAGCGAGGACAGCUUCUUGAACGUUUGAUCUCAAAUCAGGUAGGGCUACCCGCUGAACUUAAGCAUAUCAAUAAGCGGAGGCU